GAAAUAACUGAAGUAGUGGUGUAAACAGGUAAGUGUCAAGUUCAUAGAAUUCUUAGGUGACUAAGCUGAGAUGAUAACAGUUAUAUAUAUAUAUAGUCUUUGUAGGUGCAGAUUGGAGGAGUGGAUGAGAUGGGGUCAAGGCUGGAGUGAAAGACACAGAAGACAGAGUGAAAAGAUGAAUUGUGUCGGCCAGGCCAGACUCGCUGGUAAUGAAUAAUAAACACUGCCUCAGAUCACUCCUUCUUAAGCAACUUAUCCCUUGCUUUCGGUUUCUCUUGAUGGCAUACUUACAACAUAAGAAAGUGACCGGAGCUUGAGCAAGUUCUGCAUCUUGGGGUUCGAUAAAUUAAAUACUGCAUCUUCCAGUUGAAGAACAAGAUACUUUUAUGCUAUUUGGCAGAUGGAAUCAGACCUUUCAGGGGAUUUUGCAAAUGCGAACAAUCCUAUUUUUUGCAAUCUAAAACCCAAGACUUUUAUCAUUGUAAACGUCAUGCAAUCAUGCACUUUUUAAGUUCAAUAUAACAUGUCCUCCAAAGAAAAAUACAUUAGUCAUUUUUGUUGUUUUUUUCCUUUACAAUGAUUCUGAUCUUCAAUCAUAACUGCUCUAUUUUCCCUUACUGCCAUUUUCCAUGAUUCUUCCUUAUUAUAGCUUCCAUCUUCUGCUCCUCCAGUUGGCACAAGGCAAACCUGUGCACUACACUUUGUUUUCUCUUCCAUUUGGUGAUAUUUAGAACUCUAAGCUGGAUAAACUUAGUGAUAGUUCACCCAAAAAUGAACUUUCCGUCAUGAUUUGCUUAAAUUGUUUCUCAGAGAUCUUUACCGUAUGUCUUUAAAUGACUUGAAAGACAAUGCACAAGCAAUAUGAACCACCUUCAUAACACUUUGAGUACUUUUUGGAGCUCAAAACCUUUGUAACAGCAUGGAAAAGAGUAUGGAAAACAAUAUUUCUUCUAAUGUAUUCUGAAGAACAAGAGGGUUAGUAAAUGAUGACAGAAUUCUCAUUAUUUUGGGUGAACUUUGGUAGAAGUUUGAGAAAGUUCACUUAGUAUUUGCCCUUAGUUCUGUGGGAAAAUGUGUCCAAAUCAAUCGGCCAAUGUAACAUGCGGGAUUUAGACAAGUAAUCGCAAAAGAAACUGUAUGAUUUCUGGAUCCCCAAUUUAAUCCACUUUUACAACAAUCUGAUUUUUGUUUUUUGCGCUGACAUUGAAGAAUGUCUCAGCCUGGUCAAGAGAACCAACAUAAGCUUUAUGUCAUUCACAGAGUCUGGCUUCUUAUCAACCACUACUUUUGCUGCACUGAACUGACCAGUUAUGAGUUGAGAAAGUGCUAUUUUUGGACCACCAUAAGUCUUUGGAUCCCAAAGAGUUAAUCAAGGCUUAAACUUACAGAAUGUACUUAGAAACUAAUCAAUAGAACAUGCUGCUGAGUUCUCAUUGUGUAGCAUUCAUGUUAAGCUCUCUGCCCCAAAAAAAACAAUUUUGUUUCCCUGUUUUUCCUGGCUUUGUUAGAUAUCACCGCAAAGCUGCCUGGCUUGUUUCGAAAAAAGUGGUGGCUUUGUGUUCCCUGUGUGGCUUUCUUGGCUCUGUGUACCACAUUUUCAGGUGCUUUAAAUGAUUGGAAAGUGACUGUGGCUGUUUCAUUGAGAAGUAAGGCAUUGGUCCAACCAUCUCAAUGUAGAAAAACAAAUUGUUGCAGAAAACUACUUCUCAAUAACCCUUGAAUUAACUUCAGCAAGGGACUGAACUUCCUCUAAAUACACACUGACAGUCUGCUUAUGAUCAGCCAGUAGCCUCAUUCUAAAACCAUUUAUUAUAUUCAGUUCCACAAUAAAGCUGUUCUUCCCCAUCAUUCCUAAUGAACUGGCUCUGCAUAUCCUUUUGUAAUCCACAAAUCAGAGGGGUAACAACGCAUAUAUGUUUUCAUAUGAUCAUGUUUUAUGCCAUUAAUUUAACAGUAGUGCCUGUGUGAAUGCAAAUGCUGACCUCCUUAACAAAACCUGAUUAAAGUGUCACAUAAUGAAUGCACUCCUAAAUUAACACCAAUUCAGUUGCAUUUUACAUCAAACCAGUCAUCAUGUUCCAGAUGCAAUGUUCAGGCCCUUACAGAUUUAUCAAAAAGAGGGAAUAUAGACAUUCAUACUAUAGGCAAAUGACAAGGUUAUGGUUGCUGGAGCAUUCAAUCACAGCUCUGAAAUAAAACCCUGAUGCUAUUUUUCUUCAUCCCUCAAAUGUACAUAAAAUGCAUCCAUCACUAUUCUGACAGCCAUCAGUGGAUAACUAACGGCCAGCAUGAUAAUUUGCCAGGCAAUUCCACACUGAGAGCAGUAGAAUGGAUUUAGGUCGGGCUUUGCAGUUGGUAGUUUGGCGGUUAAGUGUUUGGUUUCAUUAUACGUCAGAGUGCAAGUGCAAGUGCAAGCGAGGCAAUGGAUAGGGAUUUUUUCUGUAAAACACUUCUCAUAUUUUCAAAAGCUUCAAAAUUAAAGACUCCUGCCAGAGCCUGAUUUAGACCUACUAUCAAUCUAGCCUAGACAUACUGAUGAUAAUGCAGUACCCUGUAGGAUUUACAUUGGACAAAGCAAAUGCGUGGAAUUCAAGGGAAAUUAUCAGCACUUUCCCAUCAUUAUAGAUGCUCCAAAAGAGAAAAAUCACCAAAAAAGUGAUUGUCAUUACGAGUUAGUUACUAAAUCAUUAAUUCAGUUUAUUAAUUCAAAACAUUGAUUAA